GCAAAAUAAAUACGAAAAUACCUGAACUGAACUGAACAGCAAAUGGGAAAUGUUGUUGUUGCUCUCGCUUGGCGCUUAAUAACUAAACAGAAAAUCCCCUACAGGCGCCCUGCGUGAAAGGUGCGCUCCCCAAGAAACCUCUAAGACGUGAGUAAUUUUCUUUUAUACAUUUGUGUCACUUAAUUAUUCGCAAAUUAUGCAUCAUUUAACUUUCGAGCGUUUUGGGCAAACACACAAAAAUGUCCAAAUUAAUGGACACCUCCACUUCCGGCACCAGAAGCUGAAGUUGUCUCAAAUCAAAAGAACUGACAUUAAUGGCCUGCACAAAUAUUUACUUACGGAACUAGGGUCAAAUGUGGCGCGCAGACAGCUUAUGGUGACACUCAAAAUCAGGCAGCACUGCAUCAGUUCGGCUCAGGCCAGCGACAGUCAAUAACUUCAGUUCCAGCACCGACCAGACCAUCAUCCAAACCAGGACGCAGCUAUCCGCCACGUGCGACCACCCCAAAGGAAGAUCCGAGCACCUACCAAGCUCUAUACCUUUUAACAACAAUAAAACAACCAUAUUUCUUGGUGCCGCUUGAUCCACGCCUUAUUCUUGAACCACGAGACUCUUUUCGGCUGUACCGUCGUUACAAUAGAUAUUAUAUAUAACAUAAUUAAAGACGGAACAUACAUAUGUAUUUAUAGCUAAUUAUUAUUAUUAUUAUGCGCUAACUACUACGAAAAAAAAUUAUACUACGGUACAAAAAUUUCGUCCUGUACAGCCUUGUGAACUAAUUUGGCCUUCUCUCGGCAUAAAGAUAGAAGUUUUAGAACAAAAGCGAGGUCGUAUUUGCCUCGCUUUCGUGCGGGCAUGAUUGCCGGGUAAAUCAACAAAUUAAUAUUUCUUCCCUCUGAAACAACAAGAUCGGCAGCCUGCCUUCUUCGUGCUCUGCGACUUUUUUUUAAAUAUGUGAACUAAAUUUUUUUUGGUCGACGCGGUCAGAUGGAGCCGUCCACCUACCCGUAGUCACGCUGUCAUCUUCAUCAGCGACGAUUUCUUUAGAUCUAUCACGCCUCAACAUUUUGGAGUUUUAUUGUUUUACUUUGAGAGCUGAGAGAAUUUUAGAACCUUGCUCGACCCGGUCAGAUGGUUUUUGCUUUCUUUUUUUUUUUAAGUGGCAGCUGAGUGUGUUUAUUGUGCGUUUGGCUGCUUCGUCUAGGUCGAGCGUGGAUUUAGUAGGCGCCGUGCGGGAAGUCGCUCUCGUACAGGCUGCUGGCCUGCUCCACCCAGUAGUGGUCCUCGACUGGACUGCAGUCCGUCCAUUGGCCAUUGUCAUCUUCGGAAGCUGGUAUUGGCUGUGGUAUUAUUGGAUGCUGCUGUUGUUGCUGGCUACCUCUCCUCCUCCUCUUCCUACCAUUGUCCGUCACUGCCACAGACGCGGCAAUUUCGGGUGUAAUGUUGUAAAGUUGAACGCAAAUUGAAAGCAUCUAUCUGGCAAUAUCUUUCGCUAUAUAGCGAAACAUAUGUUUCAAUUUAAUUGUACAUAUGUGUGCGUCAACGGACAAGAUCGUAAGAAGAGUACGAAAAAGCGAAGUAAGAGCAAAACAAAAGUGCUAAAAGCUGUGUGUGUGUACAGUCUCCAAGAUGGAUACUCCCAAUCCGGAUGGAGUCAACCCCGGAUAGGCACUUAUCCUAUCCUUGCAAAUCGCUCCUGUUCAGGACCACCAACAAUUUAAUAGUGUGUUAAAUAUAGUAUAGUAUGUUAAAAUAUAAAUAUAAAAUCGUGCAAGUUCCUCACAAAGCGCUACGACGGACCGCAAAUACGCAAGAUCUACCAGCAGGCGCACUCAUGCCUACGAGGCCUCACAAUUUUAAUGUUAAAUAAAAAAGACAAAUACGCAAUGAUAUGAAAUUAAACUACCAAU
rnacentral:sRNA from 1 species